rnacentral:rRNA from 1 species
GAGGAAUAUUGGUCAAUGGGCGAGAGCCUGAACCAGCCAAGUAGCGUGCAGGACGACGGCCCUAUGGGUUGUAAACUGCUUUUGUAUGGGGAUAAAGUCAAUCACGUGUGAUUGUUUGCAGGUACCAUACGAAUAAGGACCGGCUAAUUCCGUGCCAGCAGCCGCGGUAAUACGGAAGGUCCGGGCGUUAUCCGGAUUUAUUGGGUUUAAAGGGAGCGUAGGCUGGAGAUUAAGUGUGUUGUGAAAUGUAGACGCUCAACGUCUGACUUGCAGCGCAUACUGGUUUCCUUGAGUACGCACAACGUUGGCGGAAUUCGUCGUGUAGCGGUGAAAUGCUUAGAUAUGACGAAGAACUCCGAUUGCGAAGGCAGCUGACGGGAGCGCAACUGACGCUGAAGCUCGAAGGUGCGGGUAUCGAACAGGAUUAGAUACCCUGGUAGUCCGCACAGUAAACGAUGGAUGCCCGCUGUUGGUACCUGGUAUCAGCGGCUAAGCGAAAGCAUUAAGCAUCCCACCUGGGGAGUACGCCGGCAACGGUG